UGUAAACAUUCAACUUUCGCAACUCCCCCAGCGUACGUCAUACAGUACAAACUUGCGGCCGGAUCUCUUCCGGCAAAAUCCGGUAUCUGGAUCGGUAUCCGGCGAAAUCGUCUUAGAGUUCUCUUCCCGGUGCUAUAACAUUGGCUUCCGGACGGUCGGUGGUCCUGAGGAAGGCCGACAUCAAGAAUUGUUGAACCAAAACCAAGCCGUAUCGGCCCGGCUGGCCAAGAAACUUUCAAGUAAUGAAUCCAGAUGUUCCCAACGGGUAAAUGUUGGUCCUCUAUGGCGAGGGGUGGAAUUGUUGCCUUGAACAACGUUUUAGAUCAGCGGCGCUUCUUCCGCAGCUCCGUCACUAACCCAACGCAGUUUUACCUGUUUUUAGUUCCGCCGCUGAUUCCCUUAGCGAUAAGAUGUCUUUUUCCGGAUCACGACAGCCCUCACCUUGCGUGGUUCUUCCGUGUACUGUUCCGAAUAAUGGAAAAUCUGUAGAUAGGCCAUGCCGGUUCCUGCCUUGAGCUCGUGACUUUUUUCCGGUGGGAAGUCGGGAGAAAGCAAACAUCACGAAAAGCGGCACUUGCGAUAGCAAAAUGCUGUGAUCGGGUGCCAGUGCCCAAUUUUGAUAGUUUUAGAAAGAUUACUUCAAAUCAAGGUAGCCCAACUAUUGUUAACACACAACAAUCAACGAUAAAGAUCAAAGCUGCGCUUCUUCACCACCAUGUUUUAAAGGUUUUAAAAAGUAAACAAGCCAAGCACGGCACGCUGCGGGAGAAGUAGUAGAAAUUGCGAAAAUGAUGACAAAAAACUUACACGUUUUCGAAGAGUUACUUAGUAUACAGCACUCGAACUCGAUCUUAAGUCAGUAUUUUUCUAGAAACGUGUUCUCUCUGGUGGUUGUCUUGGAUACUUAGUUCUCACAUUAACCGCAAGAGGGAAGAGGAUUUUAGCAAAUUACACGUUUCGGAUGUUUAACUUUUUAGAGACUGAUUGUUACACUUUUAUAUAGGGUUUUAAUGUCAUCUUCGGUAGCUUCUUUGCAACCUUCGUGAAACGUGUAUGUUGUUGUUUUGGUCGAGUGUUUUGGUCUGUUUUAGAUUUUGAAUUAUUUUUUUCUUUCAAUUCUUACGUUUUUUUUAGGAAUUGUAGCAUAGAAUGAUCUUUAUCUGAUAAUGAUCAAAUUCUAACGUGCCAUUUGUGACAACAGGACCACCAUUAAAAAAACGGAAUACAAAUUAAAUCGAAGAGGUCGACCCGAUAGUUUCACCGCUGUUCGAAGAUGACGGCGUAUGCUUUAUUUUGAGAAAGCCAGAUCUUUCAUUGAGCUGUUUAAGAAAGCAAAUGUGACGGGAAAAUUCUCCAAAUGUCGACUUUUUCAUCACUGAUUCGUCACUUUAGGCCAAUUGUACCAAUCGUGGCCUUCAACAUCAUGCCGGAAGUCUUCUCGUGUAAAAUGUUCAACUAUUCUAUGAGCGACACACUCUCGGCAAUCCUUAGCAAGACAUAUGACGAGCAGUACGGUGGCAAUGCCCGACAUCGAAUCCGUAACGCUGCGGAGCUCGACACACUGCGGGGAUUGCUAUCUCGAUCAGAUCGUCGAACAUUGUCAACCUGUUGGACCGACCUCUUUACCAGCUUCUACAACACGAAGGCGAUGGCGACGUAGUGUCGACGUUUCACUGUUGAUUUCCAGGAUCGGCCCGCUGGUCAAUUUUACCUUGGUUGUGAUCGGCUCAGAACACGGUACGUUCGAAUGACGUCUAAGAGGCUCAAGGUGAUUGCCGACUCGAAAUCCCCUAGGACGUUCAAAGCAAGUGUUACACCAGCCAGCAUAAAUUCGACCGACCGGUUGAACUAUGGUUAAACGAUGACGUUACUAAUAAAACCGUGAGUAAUAGUAGUAUGUGAUUUCGUUAAUUUUCAAAGCAAACUUUGUAUAACUGUAAAUUAGUCAACAAAAUGCUACUUAUUCAGAAUAUGCUCACGACCGAUAUGAUAGUUUAAGUGACAAUACGAAACGGUUUUUUUGCUGCUUUAAACCCGUUGAAUUUAGAUUCUGAUAGACAGUUUUCAAAAGCAUUGAUUUUGAGUUUUGUGUUGAGCACUUACAAUUACACGCUUUGUUUAAGUAUUUUGCGUGCUUACACAAAUCGUAAUGCUUUUGAAAAUUACAUCAGAUUCUAGAUUCAACGGGGUAAAAAAAUUUCAGCUUUGGUAAAUUUACGUUGAUUUCAUCGGAAAUUUACAUGAUUUCAAGUUCCUUUUCGUUCGGCCCGUUUACGUUGGAUGACAUGUAAAUUUAAAAUGAAACUAAUUUAAAUUAGCAUCAUUUACGACGUGCACUUUUGGUACAUAAUAAAUGAUGUAAAUUUACCUAAUUUUUUUUUUCUGUGUAAUUAAAAAGACAAAUGCUCCAGAUGGUAUAAGGAAGGAUAUAAACAUUUAAAUAAAUCAUCUAGUGAAUAGAUAAAUGUAGGCAUUAAAAUUGAAGAAGAUUCCCGGAAGCUGGAAGAAAGAUAAUUAUAUUUUAAAGAAAAAUUCUUCAGAUGGUUCCAUUGCUAUUUCAGUAACUGUCGUUAGUUCAUGAAAUUUGAUCAUAUAUGGUAUGGAGGAAUGGUAGAAAAAAGGACAAGGAAUAGGAAUGAUAUAAACAUUCAAAUAAAUCAAAUGAAGAAUAGAUAAAUACAUAUAAGCAGUUCAUUUAUAAAUGAUCCAGGAAGCUGUGAAAAAAAUUAAACACAAUUUUAAAUGAUACUGUUGCCACUGAACUGAUAAUUGAAAAUAAUUGAAAUUACUUCCUACCCACGUCCUGCAUCAUGCACACCUUAAAAACGUCAAACAAAAGAAAGACAAAAAUCGCUGCUGCACCACUAAUUGCCUCCACUACUGGCACUGAACCCGCAAUCUUUGGAGUGUUAACAUUCCCACAAAACAAACAUUAACAUUAUUUGAGUAAACAUUGGCACAAAAUCCGCUUUGUAAAUGCCACCUCGAUACUCUUCAAGAGGUUUCCCUGGGAAAGAUAUACUUUUUACCAAAAUGUACACCAAAUUUCCAUACAAACAUACAAGAAAGAACAAAUCAAGUCAUAACAACAAUGAAACAUAUCAAAUUCUAAGUAUUCCAAAUGAUUGCACAUCUGCCAACAAUAUUUAUAAGGGGUGUCACAUAACCCGAGCAGGG